UGAUGAUGGUGAGGACAACUGAUGAGUAGAUAUUUAAACAUAUCCUAUGCUUGAUAUAAAUUCUCUCUCAAUUUUUGUUCAAAGCUUAGGAUUUCGCUUCUCAACUU